AAUGAGCUUCGGGGGCAAUGAAGCUUGGGCCCCACGCAAUGGGAGAUACCGAACCGUGUCAGGAUGGGAACAUAGCAGCACUAAGGUAAACCUUUCAUGUGCCGUGGGUUAUCCUGGGUGGAGUUCCCGAAGUUUUU
rnacentral:SRP_RNA from 1 species